rnacentral:sRNA from 1 species
GCCGGGUGUGGUGGUGCACACCUGUAAUCCCAGAAGCUUGGAAGCCUGAGGCAGGAGGAUCAGUAGUUCAAUGUCAGCUUUAGCAGGAGCGAGGCAUGCAGCAACUCAGUGAGACCCUGUCUUUA